GCGGGAAUAGCUCAGUUGGUAGAGCACGACCUUGCCAAGGUCGGGGUCGCGAGUUCGAGUCUCGUUUCCUUCU
rnacentral:tRNA from 1 species